rnacentral:rRNA from 1 species
GGAAUAUCUGGUGUAGCAGUGAAAUGCGUAGAUAUCAGAUAGAACACCAAUGGCGAAGGCAGUUACCUGGUCCAAAACUAGACACUAAAGCACGAAAGUGUGGGGAGCAAACAGGAUUAGAUACCCUGGUAGUCCACACCCUAAACGAUGAAUACUAGAUGUUGGUCCUUUUAAGGGUCAGUAUCCAAGCUAACGCAUUAAGUAUUCCACCUGGGAAGUACAAUCGCAAGGUUGAAACUCAAAGGAAUUGACGGGGGCCCGCACAAGCAGUGGAGCAUGUGGUUUAAUUCGACGCAACGCGAAGAACCUUACCUAGGCUUGAAGCGCAAGCUAAACCUGAUGAAAGUCGGGGUGCCGCAAGGCGAGCUUGUACAGGUGCUGCAUGGCUGUCGUCAGCUCGUGCCGUGAGGUGUUGGGUUAAGUCCCGCAACGAGCGC